UCAAAUACAUUGAAGAGGGCGAGUAAGUUUUAACACGACGGUACAGAGAGCAAGCGUAGAUGAGAAUCUUGCCCGUACGGUGAAGCUGAAUGGACCUCGGAGUAGCAAGGUGAAACUUGAAGGGAAUGAUCAAGGAGUAAUCUGCGCCGGAAAUACCACCGUUAGCCAGGUAAAAGAUAUCAUCUAUUUUAUAAGAUCGUAUCUGAAAAAAGUGAGGCUGGCUAUAAAUUCCCGUUGCAUCAUGACGGGAAUUUUUGUUAAUGGAUAAGCCAGCUUAACGGGGGUGGCACCACGGACGAAGUACGUUCGUCCCCUAG
rnacentral:ncRNA from 1 species